UAAACCAUGCACCGAAGCUGCGGCAGCGACACUAUGUGUUGUUGGGUAGGGGAGCGUUCUGUAAGCCUGCGAAGGUGACCUGUGAGGGUUGCUGGAGGUAUCAGAAGUGCGAAUGCUGACAUAAGUAACGAUAAAGCGGGUGAAAAGCCCGCUCGCCGGAAGACCAAGGGUUCCUGUCCAACGUUAAUCGGGGCAGGGUGAGUCGACCCCUAAGGCGAGGCCGAAAGGCGUAGUCGAUGGGAAACAGGUUAAUAUUCCUGUACUUGGUGUUACUGCGAAGGGGGGACGGAGAAGGCUAUGUUAGCCGGGCGACGGUUGUCCCGGUUUAAGCAUGUAGGCUGGUUAUCCAGGCAAAUCCGGAUAAUCAAGGCUGAGGUGUGAUGACGAGGCACUACGGUGCUGAAGUAACAAAUGCCCUGCUUCCAGGAAAAGCCUCUAAGCAUCAGGUAACAUCAAAUCGUACCCCAAACCGACACAGGUGGUCAGGUAGAGAAUACCAAGGCGCUUGAGAGAACUCGGGUGAAGGAACUA
rnacentral:rRNA from 1 species